GAUGAACGCUAGCGGCAGGCCUAACACAUGCAAGUCGAGGGGUAGAAGGAGCUUGCUCCUUUGAGACCGGCGCACGGGUGCGUAACGCGUAUGCAAUCUACCUUGUACAGGGGAAUAGCCCAGAGAAAUUUGGAUUAAUGCCCCCUAGUAUAUAACCUUCGCAUGUUGGUUAUAUUAAAGUUUCUACGGUACAAGAUGAGCAUGCGUCCCAUUAGUUAGUUGGUAAGGUAAUGGCUUAGCAAGACGAUGAUGGGUAGGAGGCCUGAGAGGGAGAUCGCCAACAGUGGGAAUGAGCUACGGCACAGACUAGUAGGGGAGGGGGCAGUGGGGAAUAUUGCAUAAUGGGCGGAAGCCUGUUGCAGCAAAGCCGCGUGCGGGAUGAAGACCUUCGGUUUGUAAGAAGAAUUCGCCUGUGCGGAAGGGUGAGUGACGGUAAUGGGUAAAGAAGCACCGGCUAACUACGUG
rnacentral:rRNA from 1 species